GGGCUGUGUCGCCACAUGGGGCCUCCACCGGCUUCAAGGGCCACAGAAAUGCUGUUUCAUGCAGAGAAAAAGAGAGCAGGUCAGAGAAUCCUGGAAUGGUUAUUAUUUUUACAAGGGAAAUGGUAAGAGCUGUUUCCUCAGGUCCCUUCUCCAAAGGAAAUGCUUGGUGAUGUGGCUUUGGAAUUGUUCCAGCACAGUUCUUUUGGGUACAAUUCUUCCUCAGAUACAUAAACGAACGCGAGACGAAUGCGGUGCGGAUUAACUCCUAGAAACACAGAUUUCCCCUAAGGAGCUCCGGGAGGCCGUGCUGCUUCCCUCUACCGACCUCCAGUGUCGGCGCCGAGGCAGAACACACAGA